UAAAAGAUUGCUGAAGAUUUUAAAAAGACGAAUGAUCUUAUUUAUCGUUACGCUACAGGAAAACGUAGCUGCUAUCUACAGCAGAGUCGUGGCUACUAGGAUUUUGGUCACGUAGAAACCUGGUAACGAAGUUAAGCUGGAAGCUCCUUCCAGGGAUGGACCUUCGUAUAACGUGUCUCGAUUCCAAGAGCCCCAUGUACAGAGAGCCCAUAGAACCAAACUCAAUAUGGUGGAGUCAAUUGGACCGCCCGUACUUUAGGGGCAUCUCUCUUUCUCCACUCUUCUUCGAGCAUAUUCGCUUCGCCGACCUCUCCUCCCCUACCUCCCUAUUUUCUUUCUUUCACCCUCUCGUUCACAUAAUGGAGACACAAUCGACUUUGAAACACAAUCGAUAGUUACCAAGUCCAUCGAGCAAAAAUGUUACUACGGCUUACGUUCUUUGAAUGACACAUGUAUGAUCGUUGCGAUGGUUGUGUGGAGCAACACCCCUAUAUACCAUUAGGAUAUAUGUAUUAACGCGAAGAAUAAUAUGGAGAGGAUUCUGUAAGAAGAAAAUUCGAUCAUCGGCAUUGCAUUUUCAUCGUCAGUUUCUCGUACCGUAUGAGGAGAACGUAUUUCUCGGAAACGAACGGUGGAGUUUAAAACGUCGAUCGUCACAUCACAUUGCCAUGGCGACGGACGUCGACGUUGUACACCCUGGUGCUCAUUUGUUUGUCAUUUCCUCGCGGCGACUCGCGGAAACAAAGGACGAGAGGCACGAAGGCACGAAACAAAAAGCAAUCCGCUCGGCGGCGAACGAGCAAACGGUUGGGGGUGUGAUGGUGGCUUGAUGGGGAUGCCGUUGUUGUUACCCGUCUGCUGAGGAUAGAACAAGGGUCGGAGUAAGGGGAUGGAAAGCGAAAUGCCGUGAAUUACCUGUUCGGAAGAGAGCAUUUCGUCGUCAUUUUUAUUUCGUUUCCCGUUGAAAACUCAACGUUCAACGGAAAUCGCCGUAUUAAAUCACACGUGCAAAGUAACGAGAUACCUAUAUCGUGAUUCGCUUGAAGAUUCUUAACAAGAAUGAUACUAUAUCUGUCGCGAAGGUCGAGAUAUUGUCGACGGAAGGACAGCACGUCAGCGAAGAGAAAGACGUCGAGUGUGUUCGUCGACUCGUUAGCGACGAUGACUUUUCACUUUUCAAAGCCGAAGCCAAGGCUUAACCACAUAUUUCCCUCUCACGGUAGCUGAGUGUCGAUUACAUAUGCCCUGGAUAUAAAUAAAGCAGGCAUAGAAACUCGUCUACGCUACAAUUUCUUCUGUCAGACGAAAUUUAUUCCGCGUGCUCUUUGUAAAUUGACAGUCAUUGCUGUUUUUUAACAAAAGAUUACUAUGAAUUAAUAAGAAAGUCAAGGAACGUCCUUGAUUAUUUCAGUCGUCGUUGAAAUGUGGCAUCGAGUAAUUAACACUCGCAUUAUUCACGGUAGGAGGAGACGUUAGAACCCCUAUAAUACUCUUCCUCUCGUUCCGGAUAACCAAGCGAGAGACCCAUUGACUUCGUUCAUUGAUUUUACGUCAAUCUGCAAAGAGCACCCUUGCGGGCUCUCCGUGAUGCGUUUACCAUAAGCGAUAAGGGCUGUACGGAGUUAGGUGUGAGAGAGGACUAAAUCUAUACAGACGUCAAUGGCAGGUUGCGUAAAAUCUGUAGAUUUGCUGAUUCCUAUCGAAAUCCUCGGGACACCUGUUGUGUCACCUGACGAGGAAAGAUAGUUUUGGUUUCGCGUUAUCGCGGUCAGUUGAGUGAGUUUUCGUGUAAACUCGACGUAUUGGCUCGAAAAGGUUUGGGUAACGCAACUCGGGCGAGACAGAGGUUAAUUUGGUACGAGUUGUAAUCCCUCUCAUCCGUCGGAUGAAAUUCCAGGACCCUCCGGGAUGGACGAAUGACAGAAGGCUUUGGAUUAUUGCCUUGCUUUAUUGAGGAUUAUAUCGAGUGCGAAAAAAAAAAUGAAUCGACGCUUUUUGCUUCCAUCAUUAGAUAAACGCUCCCCGUUGUACAAUGGAUAUGUUGAAUCAAUCAUGCAAGUAUAGUUUUAAUCAGCGUGGGGUCGACGCUAUCUCGUUGUUCUCCAUUUGCUUCGACCGGAAUGCGAAGACGUGCAUGGGAUUGUGAUGUUACCAUUAUUCGCCUCGAUAACGUUUACGAUACGCAUAUAGCCUAGCAUAUAUCGUAUAGGUUGGGAGGGGUCGGACCAGAGCGUGCCGGCAGCUCGUCGUUAAUAUAAUGGCGAAAAUGGCAAAACGGGUCGACAUCACGUAGAGGACGUGAGCCAACACUUUUGAAAUAUUUGAAAAUGAAGCUGAAAAUGAUGAACUCAUAACCAUCACUCUGUUCCGUCGCUCAAGCCUUUUGGAGUCUCCCUAAUUGACCCAUGCCAGUAGCCAAUAGGAUUUGAAAUUAUAGGUCUCGAGGAAAAAAGACGAUUAUCAGUCAAAUAGAGAGAAUACAAACAAACAUUAACGACUGGGACUUUGACGUUAAUCGAGAUGGAAAAGGAAAGCAGUUAAAAAGAAUUUUUCUAGUCGAACUAAACUCGUCACGCAUUUGAUUAAAAUUACAGUUUUACUAUCUAUGAAUACUAUACUAAGCGUUCUAAUAACUAGACAGGGAAGUAAGAUUUUUAAAAUGGUAUGCAUUCCACGACAUCGGCUUUAUCGUACGUGCUGUCUUGGUCGUUUACAGGGAAAUGACGUAGAUGGAAAUGAAUAAUGUAUAGAAGAGCAUAUGUAAGCGUAGAUAAGAAUCUUAUCAAAAGAACCGAUCAAAGACGUUCUGUGAGGUCACGCUCGAGUGGUGCCGUCUAAUUUAUUGAGUGCAACGAAACGGUGAUAUGGCGAAGGUUACCGUUAAGAUUGGACAAUAAUAAUGAUG